rnacentral:lncRNA from 1 species
CUUGGCUGUGUGCUUAGGGUCGUUGUACUGUUGGAAGGUGAACCUUCUCCCCAGUCUAAGGUCCUGAGCGCUCUGGAGCAGGUUUUCAUCAAGGAUCAGAGGUUUUCGUAAAAUGGGCAGGAACUAUGCUGUCCUAGCUUCAGGGGUGCAAGGAAAGGGAAUAGCUUAGACUGGGCUGCCUCUCUCUCUCUCUCUCUCUCUCUCUCUCUCAUCUUUGCUUUCACUUUCUUCCAUUCUUUCUUCCUGUAAUUAUGGGAUGUAAAAAUUUCAUAGCCAUGCCCAACCCCUCCCACUAUGCAUAUGCAUGAUGUGUAUUAUAUAUCCUGGAUAGGUGCACCUUUGAAUCACAUCAAACCGCGAGGUUGAGGAAGCAGGACGGUAAAGGACACUAAGCCCAGACAACUGAGCUGUUAGACAAACAGACAGAUAGUCAGACAUAAAGACAGACAGAAGACAACAGAUGGCCUAUGAGGACAAACUUUGACAGACAAAGGAUGCUUCCAUUACUGGUUAUAGCUCUGCUGGGGUUCUCCACAGAACCAGCCUCUGCACUGCCUUGCACUCAGAUCUCUCUCUCCAAGACCCUUCCCUCCUCAGCUCACAGUGUCAGACCCUCAGAUGUGGCUGUGCUCUCUGCCAUUGGACUUCCCCACACACACAGGUAAGCAGCACAUCAAAUGUAUCUAACCUUGAUAGAUAAGGGAACACUACCAGGUGUCAAUAUUGAAUCAUCCCUAGUGUC